UUGCUUCUCUUGAGAGCGGCGGACGGGUGAGUAAUGCCUAGGAAUCUGCCUGGUAGUGGGGGAUAACGUUCGGAAACGGACGCUAAUACCGCAUACGUCCUACGGGAGAAAGCAGGGGACCUUCGGGCCUUGCGCUAUCAGAUGAGCCUAGGUCGGAUUAGCUAGUUGGUGGGGUAAUGGCUCACCAAGGCGACGAUCCGUAACUGGUCUGAGAGGAUGAUCAGUCACACUGGAACUGAGACACGGUCCAGACUCCUACGGGAGGCAGCAGUGGGGAAUAUUGGACAAUGGGCGAAAGCCUGAUCCAGCCAUGCCGCGUGUGUGAAGAAGGUCUUCGGAUUGUAAAGCACUUUAAGUUGGGAGGAAGGGUUGUAGAUUAAUACUCUGCAAUUUUGACGUUACCGACAGAAUAAGCACCGGCUAACUCUGUGCCAGCAGCCGCGGUAAUACAGAGGGUGCAAGCGUUAAUCGGAAUUACUGGGCGUAAAGCGCGCGUAGGUGGUUUGUUAAGUUGGAUGUGAAAUCCCCGGGCUCAACCUGGGAACUGCAUUCAAAACUGACUGACUAGAGUAUGGUAGAGGGUGGUGGAAUUUCCUGUGUAGCGGUGAAAUGCGUAGAUAUAGGAAGGAACACCAGUGGCGAAGGCGACCACCUGGACUAAUACUGACACUGAGGUGCGAAAGCGUGGGGAGCAAACAGGAUUAGAUACCCUGGUAGUCCACGCCGUAAACGAUGUCAACUAGCCGUUGGAAGCCUUGAGCUUUUAGUGGCGCAGCUAACGCAUUAAAGUUGACCGCCUGGGGAGUA
rnacentral:rRNA from 1 species